GCGAAGGUGUGUGUGCGCGUGGGGGCGUGGGCGCGUGUGCGUGCGUGUCCGCGGGUCAAGCAGAUGGAAAACCACACAGUUGUCUAGCAGUUGUAAAACAAAAUUGCAUCUCCUUUUAAAAUGGGAGGAGACACCAUUGCAGAAUCCACACCGUGAACUGUUUGUAGAUGGAUCAGCCUUCACAGACCGCAGUAGGGAAGAAAGAAAUGGAAACCAGGCAGUGGCUGGGACUGUUCCAGUUACUUCUGACCAUGCAGACUGCGGUGAAAAUUGCUGAUUGAGCAAUGUGGAUUCAUGUUAGCCACUGUAAUCUGUUAAAUAAGUAAUUGUGUGCACAUCC